rnacentral:rRNA from 1 species
UACGUAGGGUGCGAGCGUUAAUCGGAAUUACUGGGCGUAAAGCGUGCGCAGGCGUCUUUGCAAGACAGAUGUGAAAUCCCCGGGCUCAACCUGGGAACUGCAUUUGUGACUGCAAGGCUAGAGUACGGCAGAGGGGGAUGGAAUUCCGCGUGUAGCAGUGAAAUGCGUAGAUAUGCGGAGGAACACCAAUGGCGAAGGCAAUCCCCUGGGCCUGUACUGACGCUCAUGCACGAAAGCGUGGGGAGCAAACAGG